GUGGGGAAUAUUGGACAAUGGGCGAAAGCCUGAUCCAGCCAUGCCGCGUGUGUGAAGAAGGUCUUCGGAUUGUAAAGCACUUUAAGUUGGGAGGAAGGGCAGUAAGUUAAUACCUUGCUGUUUUGACGUUACCGACAGAAUAAGCACCGGCUAACUUCGUGCCAGCAGCCGCGGUAAUACGAAGGGUGCAAGCGUUAAUCGGAAUUACUGGGCGUAAAGCGCGCGUAGGUGGUUCGUUAAGUUGGAUGUGAAAGCCCCGGGCUCAACCUGGGAACUGCAUCCAAGACUGGCGAGCUAGAGUACGGUAGAGGGUGGUGGAAUUUCCUGUGUAGCGGUGAAAUGCGUAGAUAUAGGAAGGAACACCAGUGGCGAAGGCGACCACCUGGACUGAUACUGACACUGAGGUGCGAAAGCGUGGGGAGCAAACAGGAUUAGAAACCCGAGUAGUCC
rnacentral:rRNA from 1 species